UAAGUGAUGAAGGCCUCAUGCCCAGGUACAUCGCAUCUCUGUAGUCAGCCGAGAUGUGAUGAAGGGAUGAAUAACUGAGACCAGAUCUCCACCCACCAGGAUGGGAUGGAGUUUCCUAGCCAACUGGAAACAAUAGACCAUAUUUAGGGUCAGAGAAGAGGCUUCUCCAGGACUGAGGCCUCUCACCACUUCCACAACAGCCUCAGACACAGGGUGCCUUCUAGAGAUGAUCUGCAACCUGAAUGAAGGAAACCUUUGCUAAUAACGAAGGAGCAGGAGCUGGACUUUAAGAAGAUUGUGCCGUGCAGCUCUGAGCGUACCGGGUAUAAACUCCUGGCACACGGAUAAAGCCACAUGAAUUUUACAUGUGACAGAGCAAGUUACAAAGCCCAGCUGCGCUCACAUGGACGAUCAAUGUGACUCUAGGAUUUUCUUUUUUCUAAAGAAAGUUCUCGCUACCAGAAGAAAAAUGUCAGCUCAUGUAUUUUGCAGAAGAGCAGCAACAAGGUUAAUUACAGAAGGUAAAAAUAAAUUGGCUUUGGUCA